rnacentral:rRNA from 1 species
AUUGAACGCUGGCGGCAUGCUUUACACAUGCAAGUCGAACGGUAACAGGCCUUCGGGUGCUGACGAGUGGCGAACGGGUGAGUAAUGCAUCGGAACGUACCCAGAGGUGGGGGAUAACGCAGCGAAAGCUGUGCUAAUACCUCAUGUGAUCUGAGGAUGAAAGCGGGGGACCGCGCAGCAAUGUUUGGCCUCGCGCCUUUGGAGCGGCCGAUGUCGGAUUAGCUAGUUGGUGGGGUAAAGGCCUACCAAGGCGACGAUCCGUAGCUGGUCUGAGAGGACGACCAGCCACACUGGGACUGAGACACGGCCCAGACUCCUACGGGAGGCAGCAGUGGGGAAUUUUGGACAAUGGGCGCAAGCCUGAUCCAGCAAUGCCGCGUGCGGGAAGAAGGCCUUCGGGUUGUAAACCGCUUUUGGCAGGAACGAAACGGUGUCCGCUAAUACCGGGCGCUAAUGACGGUACCUGCAGAAUAAGCACCGGCUAACUACGUG